GACGAACGCUGGCGGCGUGCUUAACACAUGCAAGUCGAGCGGUAAGGCCUUUCGGUGUACACUAGCGGCGAACGGGUGAGUAACACGUGGGUGAUCUGCCCUGCACUUCGGGAUAAGCCUGUGACUCUGGGUCUAAUACCCGAUAUGACCUCCUAUCGCAUGGUGGGUGGUUGAAAGAUUUAUCGGUGCAUGUUGGGCCCGCUGCCUAUCAGCUUGUUGGUGGGGUAAUGGCCUACCAAGGCGACGACGGGUAGCCGACCUGUGAGGGUGACCGGCCACAAUGGGACUGAGACACGGAGCAGAAUGCUACGGGAGGCAGCAGUGGGGAAUAUUGCAGAAUGGGCGAAAGCCAGAUGCAGAGACGCCGCGUGAGGGAUGACGGCCUUCGAGGGGUAAACCUAUGUGAGCAGGGACGAAGAGGAAGUGACGGUACCUGCAGAAGAAGCACCGGCUAACUACGUG
rnacentral:rRNA from 1 species